GAACGCGAAGAACCUUACCUGGUCUUGACAUGUACGGAAUCCUCCAGAGACGGAGGAGUGCCUUCGGGAGCCGUAACACAGGUGCUGCAUGGCUGUCGUCAGCUCGUGUCGUGAGAUGUUGGGUUAAGUCCCGCAACGAGCGCAACCCUUGUCAUUAGUUGCCAUCAUUUAGUUGGGCACUCUAAUGAGACUGCCGGUGACAAGCCGGAGGAAGGUGGGGACGACGUCAAGUCCUCAUGGCCCUUAUGACCAGGGCUUCACACGUCAUACAAUGGUCGGUACAGAGGGUAGCCAAGCCGCGAGGUGGAGCCAAUCUCACAAAACCGAUCGUAGUCCGGAUUGCACUCUGCAACUCGAGUGCAUGAAGUCGGAAUCGCUAGUAAUCGCAGGUCAGCAUACUGCGGUGAAUACGUUCCCGGGUCUUGUACACACC
rnacentral:rRNA from 1 species